rnacentral:rRNA from 1 species
AUGUCGUAUCAGCUUGUUGGUGAGGUAACGGCUCACCAAGGCUUCGACGCGUAGCGGGACUGAGAGGUUGACCCGCCACAUCGGGACUGAGACACUGCCCGGACCCCCACGGGGGGCUGCAGCAACGAAUCUUGCGCAAUGGACGAAAGUCUGACGCAGCGACGCCGCGUGCAGGACGAAGCCCUUCGGGGUGUAAACUGCUGUUAGGGUGACGAAAGAUCUGAUCGAUCCCAAAGACAGGACCGGCUAACUUCGUGCCAGCAGCCGCGGUAAUACGAAGGGUCCGGGCGUUGUUCGGAAUUACUGGGCUUAAAGAGCACGUAGGCGGGAGGGUACGUGUCUUGUGACAGUCCUGGGCUUAACCCAGGAAUUGCCGGGCAUAACUGCCUUCCUUGAGGCAGGUAGGGGCGCGUGGAACCUCUAGGUGGAGCGGUGAAAUGCGUAGAUAUCUAGAGGAACGCCUGUGGUGAAAACGACGCGCUGGGCCUGUCCUGACGCUGAGGUGCGAAAGCGUGGGGAGCGAACAGGAUUAGAUACCCUGGUAGUCCACGCCGUAAACGAUGUCUACUAAGUCGCGGGAGUUCUGACGCUGUCGCGGGCCGAAGCAAAAGUAUUAAGUAGACCGCCUGGGGAGUACGGUCGCAAGGCUAAAACUCAAAGGAAUUGACGGGGGCUCACACAAGCGGUGGAGCAUGUGGCUUAAUUCGAAGCAACGCGAAGAACCUUAUCCUGGGUUUGACAUGCUUGGAUGCCGCCUAUGAAAGUAGGUUAGGCUGCCUUCGGGUGAAACUUGCACAGGUGCUGCAUGGCUGUCGUCAGCUCGUGUCGUGAGAUGUUGGGUUAAGUCCCUUAACGAGCGAAACCCUUGUCGUUAGUUGCCAGCGGGUCAUGCCGGGGACUCUAACGAGACUGCCGGUGUCAAACCGGAGGAAGGUGGGGAUGACGUCAAGUCCUCAUGGCCUUUAUGCCCAGGGCUGCACACGUGCUACAAUGGCGACUACAAACCGACGCAAUACCGUGAGGUGGAGCAAAUCGGAAAAAAGUCGCCCCAGUUCGGAUUGUAGGCUGCAACUCGCCUGCAUGAAGUCGGAAUCGCUAGUAAUCGCAGAUCAGCUAUGCUGCGGUGAAUAUGUUCCUGAGCCUUGUACACACCGCCCGUCAAGUCACGGAAGCUGGGUGCACCUGAAGUCGG